rnacentral:rRNA from 1 species
GGGAUCGAAGAUGAUUAGAUACCAUCGUAGUCUUAACCGUAAACUAUGCCGACUUGCGAUUGUCCGAUGUUUAUUAUAGACUUGGGCAGCAGCACAUGAGAAAUCAAAGUUUUUGGGUUCCGGGGGGAGUAUGGUCGCAAGGCUGAAACUUAAAGGAAUUGACGGAAGGGCACACCAGGAGUGGAGCCUGCGGCUUAAUUUGACUCAACACGGGGAAACUUACCAGGUCCAGACAAAGUAAGGAUUGACAGUUUGAGAGCACUUUCUUGAUUCUUUGGGUGGUGGUGCAUGGCCGUUCUUAGUUGGUGGAGUGAUUUGUCUGGUUAAUUCCGAUAACGAACGGGACCACGGCCUACUAAAUAGGACAGGCUAUGGUAACAUAGUUUGAGCCUUCUUGGAGGGACAUUUCGGGUUUACCGGAAGGAAGUUCGUG